AUACGUAGGGGGCAAGCGUUGUCCGGAAUUACUGGGCGUAAAGGGUGCGCAGGCGGCUUGGUUAGUCAGAAGUGAAAGUUUGCAGCUUAACUGUAAAAGUGCUUUUGAUACUGCCUGGCUUGAGUCUCGGAGGGGUAAGCGGAAUUCCUAGUGUAGCGGUAAAAUGCGUAGAGAUUAGGAAGAACACCGGCGGCGAAGGCGGCCUGCUGGACGACAACUGACGCUGAGGCGCGAAAGCGUGGGGAGCAAACAGGAUUAGAUACCCUGGUAGUCCACGCUGUAAACGAUGAAUACUAGGUGUGGGGGGACUGACCCCCUCCGUGCCGCAGUUAACACAAUAAGUAUUCCACCUGGGGAGUACGAUCGCAAGAUUGAAACUUAAAGGAAUUGACGGGG
rnacentral:rRNA from 1 species